AUGGCUUUUCAGCCUUUGUCUAAGAUAAAGUAUAGUACCUGUUCCUUCCAGUUUAAUAUCUGAUACAUCAUCUAUCAAAGAACAACAUUUUGUAUGGAUUUUUGGAGUGGGGAGCUGGACUAGGACGUUGUUUUUUCCAGUUCCCACAUCAGCCUGGCAUUGCAGUACUGCAAGGAAGGGGGGUGUCCCU